rnacentral:misc_RNA from 1 species
GAUGAAGACGCAGCGAAAUGCGAUACGUAAUGUGAAUUGCAGAAUUCAGUGAAUCAUCGAAUCUUUGAACGCAUAUUGCGCUCUCUGGUAUUCCGGAGAGCAUGCUUGUUUGAGUAUCAGUAAACACCUCAACUUCCAUAUCUUUUUUUGAAAUGGGAGUUGGACUUGAGUGAUCCCAACGCUUUUCCUCACCGAAAAGUGGCGGGUUACUUGAAAUGCAGGUGCAGCUGGACUUUUCUCUGAGCUAUAAGCAUAUCUAUUUAGUCUGCCUAAAAAACAGAUUAUUACCUUUGCUGCAGCUAACAUAAAGGAGAUUAGUUCUUGUGCUGACUGAUGCAGGAUUCACAAAGACAGCUUCGGCCGACUUUGUAAACUCGAUCUCAAAUCAAGUAAGACUACCCGCUGAACUUAAGCAUAUCAAUAAGCGGAGGA